rnacentral:sRNA from 1 species
CGUUGGCAUUUACCGAUAUUUGCAAGCCCCGCCACACUUCUUGGUUGUUGCGCCUAUGGCUGUUCCUUGUCGUAAUCAGAAGUUGACAGGUUCCACGGAAUGUGCUGGAUCUCAAUUCCGUUGUGAUAUAAAGUUCUGUAGGUAUUUAAGCGGCGCCAUCUGUGGUGGUCUAGCCCAGCUGCUAAUGAUUAGUAAAUCAGGAGGCAGGAAUGUGUGAGGAACUCCGGGGAGGAAGAAUAUGGGGUUCUAGAGAAGAUAAAGGGGCACAGAACAGCCGCGUGGAGAAUGUCAACCGUAGAGGCCC